rnacentral:rRNA from 1 species
GACGGAAGGUGCAAGCGUUGCUCGGAAUCACUGGGCGUAAAGGGUGCGUAGGCGGCUGUGCAAGUCUGGCGUGAAAGCCCCGGGCUCAGCCCGGGAAGUGCGCUCGAAACUGCGCAGCUCGAGUGCCGGAGGGGAGAGUGGAAUUCCUGGUGUAGCGGUGAAAUGCGUAGAUAUCAGGAGGAAUACCGGUGGCGAAAGCGGCUUCCUGGACCGACACUGACGCUGAGGUGCGAAAGCGUGGGGAGCAAACGGG